ensembl:snRNA U6 U6 spliceosomal RNA
GUGUUCACUUUGGUAGCACAUAUACUAAAGUUGGAAUGAUACAAAGAAGAUUAGCAUAGCCCCUGCACAAGGAUGGCAUGCAAAUUUGUGAAGUAUUCCAUAUUUUU